AGUGAACGCUGGCGGUAGGCCUAACACAUGCAAGUCGAACGGCAGCACAGUAAGAGCGUGCUCUUACGGGGGGCGAGAGGCGGACGGAAGAGGAAUACAACGGAAUCUACUUUUUCGGGGGGGAUAACGAAGGGAAACUUAAGAUAAUACAGCAUACGACCUACGGGGGAAAGCAGGGGAACUUCGGACCUGGCGCGAUUGAACGAGCCGAUGACGGAUUAGCUAGUUGGCGGGGUAAAGGCCCACGAAGGCGACGAUCCGUAGCUGGUCUGAGAGGCUGGUCGGCCGCACUGGAACGUGGCCACGGUCCAUGCUCCUGCGGGACGCAGCAGUGUGGAAUAUUGGGCAAUGGGCGCAAGCCUUGUCCAGCCAUACCGCGUGGGUUGAGAAGGCCUUCCGGUUGUAAAGCCCUUUUGUUGGUAAAGAAAAGCAUCAGGUUGUUACCCCGCUUUUCUGACGGUACCCAGUGAAUAAGCACCGGCUAACUUCGUG
rnacentral:rRNA from 1 species